GGUUGCGAUCAUACCAGCACUAAUGCACCGGAUCCCAUCAGAACUCCGCAGUUAAGCGUGCUUGGGCGAGAGUAGUACUUGGAUGGGUGACCCCCUGGGAAGUCCUCGUGUUGCAACCC
rnacentral:rRNA from 2 species